UAAAAAGCCUCCGAAUCACAGAAUCUCAGGAGAGACCUUGGUGCUUUUUCAUCCAAGUUAGACCUGGCAAUGAAUACCUUUUACUAGAAACCCAACAAAUGCUCAGACAUCCUUUACAAGAACACAUCCAGAGAGGGGGAAACCAUUGCGUGCCAAGGCAGUCCAUUCCUCUUUUGAGCAGCUCUAACUGUUCUUACUGACAUCAAACCCAAGUCACCUCUUCAGAAGAUGCUCUCCUUGUUCUUAGUUCUUCCCUCUGGGGCCAAGCAGAACAAGGCUAAUCCCUCUUCCACAUGACAGCUCUUCAAAUACUUGAGGGCAGCAUCUCUCCUCUCCCACCUCUCAACGUGGAAGACUGGUUCCUUUUCCCUGGAUGCUGCUGCUAAACCCUGACAGUGGCUCUAUCUCCUAGCAGACUCAAGUCCAUCUCCUGAGAGGUGCUGCCGGACUGGAGGAAGGAGCAUUCAUCUGGCGAUUUGCACACACAGGAUGGGGAUGCCAUUGCUGUUCCAGUGGCUGAAGUUAGAGCUGUCUUGGCAAGAUAGCAUCUGAAGUCCAAAUUGGAUCUAGCAGUUUUAUCUCCCCAGUACUUCUACCGUUGCUGCCCUGGAGCCCAUAGAGACAAAUCACAAAAGAAAAUUUCAAUUACCUUUUGUUGUUUACUUGGACAUUGACAAUGCAGCCCAGCUAAGUUGGGCAUAGAGCAGACUAUCAUUUAAUGAAGCUUAUCUUAUUGAUUUCCACAGUAAAAAUCAAUUUUAAAGAGAAGCUAAGAGGAAACUAUGGGUUAUUCACAUUGCAUCGACCUGAUUGCCACCUAUGUGACUAGGUGGUAUGGAUAAAGUAUUGGACUUGGAAAUCUUAGAUCUAGAAUGGGAAGAGACUUCAGAGAUCAACCCCCUCCUUUUACAGAGCAAACUGGAACUCAAGGAGACAAAGGGACUCCUUUAUUACAGAUGUGAUGUUUUUACGUUACUAGGAUUAGAGGUGAUCCAGUGACAAUGGCCUCCUUAUUGUUCCUCUAGAGCAUUAUCCCAUCUCGAGACUCUUAAUAUUUCAAUGUCUACCUCCCAUGACUGGAAUUCUCUCCCAUCCAUCUCCAUUUCCUGACUUCCUGGCUGCCCCCAAGUCCUAAGCAAAAUCCUAACUUCUGUAAGAAGCCUUUCCAUACCCCCCCUUUACUAAUUGUAUUUACCCAGAAUUGUUUCCAAUUUAUCCUCUGUAGAGUUUAUUUCUAAACCAUUCAUUUCAUGAUGUCUUCCUCUAUUAGAUUGUGAACUCCUUGAGAGUAAGGUGUAUGUUUUUUGUUAUUUUGUUUUUUUCUUUUAUUUUAAUCCCUAGCUCUUGAUACAGUGCCUGACAUAAAGUAAACAAUAAAUGCUUAUUGACUGAUUUCA
rnacentral:lncRNA from 1 species